rnacentral:rRNA from 1 species
UGGGCGAAAGCCUGAUGCAGCCAUGCCGCGUGUAUGAAGAAGGCCUUCGGGUUGUAAAGUACUUUCAGUUGUGAGGAAGGGUGUGUAGUUAAUUGCUGCGCAUCUUGACGUUAGCAACAGAAGAAGCACCGGCUAACUCCGUGCCAGCAGCCGCGGUAAUACGGAGGGUGCGAGCGUUAAUCGGAAUUACUGGGCGUAAAGCGCAUGCAGGUGGUUCAUUAAGUCAGAUGUGAAAGCCCGGGGCUCAACCUCGGAACUGCAUUUGAAACUGGUGAACUAGAGUGCUGUAGAGGGGGGUAGAUUUCAGGUGUAGCGGUGAAAUGCGUAGAGAUCUGAAGGAAUACCAGUGGCGAAGGCGGCCCCCUGGACAGACACUGACACUCAGAUGCGAAAGCGUGGGGAGCAAACAGGAUUAGAUACCCUGGUAGUCCACGCCGUAAACGAUGUCUACUUGGAGGUUGUGGCCUUGAGCCGUGGCUUUCGGAGCUAACGCGUUAAGUAGACCGCCUGGGGAUACGGUCGCAAGAUUAA